rnacentral:tRNA from 1 species
GUGCCCGUGGCUCAAUGGUAGAGCAUUCGACUCAAAUACCAAAGGUCGCGGGUUCGAAUCCCAGGUGUU